GUUUCCCCUUUGAGCGGGGAGCGGUGCACCACCGCGCCGCUGGAAAUCGACAUCAGGCACUCGGCGGCGAAGUAGUCGCGGCAGGCGAACACAGACAUGGCUGGGAAUGGAAGGAGACUCUCCUCUGUGUGAGCAUGGGUCCUCAAGAAUCGGUGAAGACAUCCCCAGGAAAUGGUGUUUAAGAAGGAACUGCAGAUGCUGGAAAAUCAAAGGCUGACACAGUCACCGUGACUGUAAAUCCUGCACACACCCUUUGGCUCAGAAAUUAGGGCUUUGAGUUCCUCUUUGAAUACAAGUGUCAGAAGAAAGGAAGACACCAGUGGUGCCCUGGGGUGGUCAUGGAGCAAAGUGGAUGCACACUCAGAAUCCACAUGACACCAACAGCAUUCAAUAUCACCCAUGAUAAUCAAUUACUUUGUGCAGAGCAGUAUGGUUAUGCCCACUCCACAUAUUACAUGACGCCACAAUCCUUCUGAAAGCAGGAAUGCCUUGUAGUGGCUGGCACCUUAUUAUAAACAGAAUAUAGGCAUAACUGCUAAUAAUAAAAAUAUAUCUUGCUGCUUUAUUAAUUUGCUGUUUGUAUUAAAAAAAAAAAAAGGCACAAGGUGCUGGAGUAACUCAGCAGG